UGCAUUCUGGAGAAUUGACUGGUAAGUUUCCUAAAUUUUGUCCUUCUAUACUUUUCUGCUCGAUUGCCUUUUAAUUUCUUCUUUUCUGUGUAGUUAAUUCUACCAUAGCUGCUGGGGACCUAGAGCUUCCUAUUGGGGAUGAAGAAGAUCAUCAUGAGCCCCUGGCAGAGCAGCCAGCUGUUGAGGCUGAGGCCACUCCUUUUGCUAGAAGAAAAAGAAAAGAAACCGCUCCUGCUCAAGACAGUGCUGUCCAGCCUGAAGUUUCUGGUGAGAUUCUGACAUUUUGAACUAUUUUCUUGAAUUUGUUCUGUUCUGCCCAUUCUCCUAACCUUCAUCUUUUGUCCUGUGC
rnacentral:lncRNA from 1 species